CUUCUGCCACGCUCAACAUGGCGGUUUGGCGCUGACGGCGGUGGCCGUGAGGCGGAAGUGGGGGGCGGGGAGGCUGACAGCGUCGGGCGCGGCAGCGCUGGGGGUGCUUGGCAGGCCGGUGCCCCUUGGCUGUUCCCAGUGGUCCCGCGCCAGCCCCCGCGCCAGAGCGGGGCAAGAUGAUCCCUCCGGAGGAGGCCUCCGCCCGCAGGAGGGAGAUAGAGGACAAGCUCAAGCAGGAAGAGGAAACACUGUCCUUUAUAAGAGAGAGCCUUGAAAAAAGUGAUCAGCUCACCAAAAACAUGGUUUCCAUCCUCUCCUCCUUUGAGAGCCGUUUGAUGAAGCUGGAGAACUCUAUCAUCCCUGUGCAUAAGCAGACGGAGAAUCUACAACGUCUGCAGGAGAAUGUUGAGAAGACCCUGUCCUGUCUGGAUCAUGUCAUUAGUUAUUACCAUGUGGCUAAGGACACAGAGAAGAUUAUAAAGGAAGGCCCUACGGGGAGACUAGAGGAGUAUUUGGGCUGCAUGGCCAGAAUCCAGAAGGCUGUAGAAUAUUUCCAGGACAACAAUCCUGACAGCCCAGAACUGAACCGGGUGAAAUCUCUGUUUGAGAGGGGGAAGGAAUCUCUGGAGUCAGAAUUCCGCAGUCUGAUGACGCGACACACCAAGCCAGUUCCUCCGAUCCUCAUCCUGGAUCUGAUCAGUGGGGAUGAUGAGAUUGAUACGCAGGAAGAUACGAUUUUGGAACACCUCCCUGAGAGUGUCUUGCAAGACAUUGUCCGUAUCUCCCUUUGGCUGGUGGAGUAUGGAAGAAACCAAGACUUCAUGAAUGUUUAUUACCAAAUCCGCUCUAGCCAGCUCGACCGCUCCAUCAAAGGUCUGAAGGAGCAUUUCCGAAAGAACAGCUCCUCCACAGGCAUCCCGUACUCCCCCGCCAUUCAGAACAAGAGGAAGGACACACCGACCAAAAAGCCUAUCAAGAGACCAGUCUUCAUUCCAGGCACGAUCCGGAAGGCUCAGAACCUUCUGAAACAGUAUUCUCAGCAUGGUCUAGAUGGGAAAAAGGGGGCCUCUAACCUCAUUCCUAUGGAAGGUCAUGAGCAUGAUUUACGAGUUAAACACCUUUCCGAUACCCUGAACGACAAGCAUGGGCCAGCUGCUGGGAGGGAUGACAUGUUGGACAUUGAGAUUGAUGCGUACAUUCACUGUGUUAGCGCCUUUGUGAAACUGGCCCAGAGCGAGUACCAGCUCCUGACAGAAAUCAUCCCAGAGCACCACCAGAAGAAGACCUUUGACUCCCUCAUUCAGGAGUCUCUGGAUAACCUGAUGAUAGAAGGGGAUAACAUUGUCUCUGCAGCCCGGAAGGCCAUCAUUCGGCAUGACUAUUCAGCUGUGCUCACCAUCUUCCCCAUCCUCAGACACCUGAAGCAGACGAAGCCAGAGUUCGAUCAAGUCUUACAGGGCACUGCAGCCAGCACAAAGAACAAGCUUCCUGGGCUGAUCACCUCGAUGGAAACCACAGGUGCAAAAGCACUGGAGGACUUUGCAGACAACAUUAAGAAUGAUCCAGACAAGGAGUAUAACAUGCCGAAAGAUGGGACAGUUCAUGAACUCACCAGCAAUGCCAUUCUCUUCCUGCAGCAGUUGCUGGAUUUCCAGGAGACAGCAGGCGCCAUGCUGGCAUCCCAAGAGACCAGCUCUUCAGCUAGCAGCUACAGUUCUGAAUUUAGCAGACGACUGCUCAGCACCUACAUCUGCAAAGUAUUGGGCAACUUGCAACUAAACCUUCUCAGUAAAUCCAAGGUUUAUGAGGACCCAGCUUUGAGUGCCAUCUUCCUGCACAACAACUACAAUUACAUCCUUAAAUCCCUUGAAAAGUCUGAGCUAAUCCAGUUGGUGGCCGUGACUCAGAAAACAGCAGAGAGGUCUUACAGGGAGCACAUUGAGCAGCAGAUCCAGACCUACCAGCGCAGCUGGUUAAAAGUAACAGAAUACAUCUCGGAGAGAAACUUGCCUGUCUUUCAAUCGGGAGUCAAGCUCAAGGAUAAGGAGAGGCAGAUGAUAAAGGAGCGUUUUAAGGGUUUCAAUGACGGCCUGGAGGAGCUGUGUAAAAUCCAGAAGGCCUGGGCCAUCCCUGACAUGGAGCAGAGGGACAAAAUCCGCAAGGCCCAGAAAACCAUUGUGAAAGAGACCUACAGUGCCUUCUUACACAGGUAUGGCAAUGUGCCCUUCACCAAGAAUCCUGAGAAGUACAUCAAGUAUAGAGUUGACCAGGUGGGCGAGAUGAUUGAGAAGCUGUUCGACACAUCAGCAUGAACCACUGACUUAUCUGGAGACUAGAGGAGAUUCUCGGUGGCUUGACUCUAAAGGGUAUUGUCUAUGCAGGAGCUGGGCUCAGCAGCUCACAUUCACCCACCUGUGUUGCUCAUAGAGAUGAAGCUCAGAUGACAGCUGGUGACAUCGCAAACAGAGGGACAACGACCUGGAGUCACACUUCUGCUUCGUAGCUACGUGACUGCAUCCCGUGAAAGAGGGAGCGUGGCUGGAAGGCUUUGGAAGGAUGAAAGGGGAACAAGUGUUUUUCACCCCCAGCUCGCCUGAUGGCCAGUCCAGAUCUUCUGGUCCUGCAGCAUGUUGGCUGCAAGCAGCUGAGGGGGAGACAGGGCAGGGACCACAGGCUGUGUGGUGUUAUGCUGGUCACUGUACGUUCUCCCUGCUGCGUCUGCUUUUAUUCUUCCAGGUUCUGCAACGAGUGUGUGCUGAUGGUCAUACCACGACUGAGGAAUUCAGAGGAAUCAAUGUCAGUUUGUAAAUGGCAAGGGCCAAGAGGCUGCUGGAUGAGGCUUCUAUGAUUUUCUUGGGUGCCCUGGCUGCCAGAAUCCAUUCCACCAGUGGGCAUUGGUCAAGCCUUCCUGACCCUGUAGCUGGCCAAGAUCAAGGGAAGCCAUCUAGGCAUUCUGCACUAUGGUGUAGGACACAAGGGCUCUUACAGCCAUGGUGUAACAUCUGCUUGUGUCCUCUUCUCCACUCCUGUGACACUAAGCAUCCCUGUAUUCACACCCUACAUGCUAUUGGAAUAAUCUUGGUACAAAAUAUGCCUUGUGAAGUAUCAUUUGAAAACGAAUAACUCGCUGAUAGUUAAUAUUCUUGUGUGGUGGAAAUACACGACAUUGCAUUAUUAUGAAUACAGUCUGCAGUUAUGAUUAAAGUGCGUUUAAACCAGGCAUGCCAUAGGGAGUUGGAAAACAGGUCUGCCCAGGUCUUGAAUACAGAUGACGCAGGGUUGAGUAGAUAAUGGGCUUGCAAUUUACAUGUGCAGUAAACGGAAUUAUUAAGCUCCAAGAUGGUUGGGGGUCAGCAUGUCUAGACCAGCACGUUGGCAUGGCAGAUAAAGCUAACAAGCGGGGGAAGAGACAGCAUGGCUGUACCCAGCAGGAGAGAGACGCUUGGUCUGGGUUUCACUUUUCAGAAGAAUCCAGUUCAAAGGUUUACUGGGCUAUAAAGACAGGGAGGCUAAAUGCUUAUUAUUUGUAAGCAAUUGAAUCAACCAAUUGAAGGCAAUAUUUGUGCACCAUGUGAGGUCUUUUAUGAAUGCCUGUAAUUCGCUGGUGAUUGGUAUUGUAAAAUGCCUGUAUGAAUGCUAUAUGAGGAAUGAAUACUCAUUCAUAGUAUGUUUUAAAGAGUGUGGCUGAACAAAAGAAGGAAUAGUUCCCGCCCAGACUAGGGGAGGGGUAGCUAUUUACCUGGUUCCUGUGUAAAUUAAGCAUGAUAGAAUCAAAACAAUGGAAGCCCCAUUUAUGUAUAGGGGAUGGGAAGGCCACAGGAAAGGAAGAAGAGCAUGACAUCCCCUUCUCUUGAAACAAGGUAAUUGAACUUAGAAAGCUAUAAGCAAGGACAGAAGCCAUCUUUGGCAACCACCGCUAGACAGACAUAAGAGGCCAGAAUUGGGGCAAGCUGAGAAGAUGGGUCCUUCAACCUCAAGGAGGGGGGCUUGAAGUCUCUGGAAGUGAAGAUAGGUGAGAAACCUGUUUAGGCAAAGAUCGUUCACCUAAGAAGACAAGGGGAGCCAGCACCUUGGACUUGGUGGAAGGUCUUGACUGAGGGAAAGUCAGCCAUGACUGGGAAGAAAAAUGGCUGGUGAGAGAAACCAUCUGGAACAAAGGCUGUAUCUUGCUAAAUUAAGCUUUAGACUUUAGAAGCAUGUUUUGUUUUGUUGUAACUAUCUUCUUUCCUUAUUCUUGAACUCACUUAAUCCUAUGUAUAUUUUGUUAAUGCAUUUAUUUCAUUUUUACCGUAAA